UGGGGAAUCUUGCGCAAUGGUCUAACGACUGACGCAGCGACGCCGCGUGUGGGAGGACGCCUUUCGGGGUGUAAACCACUGUUGCCCGGGACGAACACCUCUUUUCGAAGAGGCUGACGGUACCGGGUGAGGAAGCACCGGCUAACUCCGGGCCAGCCGCCGCGGUCAUACGGAGGAUCCAAGCGUUAUCCGGAAUUACUGGGCGUAAAGAGUUGCGUAGGUGGCAUUGUAAGCAGGUAGUGAAAGCGUUCGGCUCAACCGGAUUAACAUUACUUGAACUGCAAAGCUAGAGGACAAGAGAGGUCACUGGAAUUCCCUGUGUAGGAGUGAAAUCCGUAGAUAUAGGGAGGAACACCGAUGGCGUAGGCAGGUGACUGGCUUGUUCCUGACACUAAGGCACGAAAGCGUGGGUAGCAAAC
rnacentral:rRNA from 1 species